rnacentral:misc_RNA from 1 species
GAUGAAGAACGCAGCGAAAUGCGAUAAGUAGUGUGAAUUGCAGAAUUCAGUGAAUCAUCGAAUCUUUGAACGCACAUUGCGCCCGCCAGUAUUCUGGCGGGCAUGCCUGUUCGAGCGUCAUUACAACCCUCAGGCCCCCGGGCCUGGCGUUGGGGAUCGGCGGAAGCCCCCUGCGGGCACAACGCCGUCCCCCAAAUACAGUGGCGGUCCCGCCGCAGCUUCCAUUGCGUAGUAGCUAACACCUCGCAACUGGAGAGCGGCGCGGCCACGCCGUAAAACACCCAACUUCUGAAUGUUGACCUCGAAUCAGGUAGGAAUACCCGCUGAACUUAAGAAUAUCAAUAAGCGGACGA